rnacentral:lncRNA from 1 species
GAAGAACUGUCAUUGCAUAAAUAAGUUCUAUCGUGUAAACCCGUGUUUAAUAUAUUUGCCAAUGGAUGAUUUUAAAAAAUAGUUUAACAAAAAAAGGUAUGAACCAUCAAUAUAUAUUCAAAUUAGCUUUCUAGAAUUUACAAUGUCUUUACUAUGUAAAGAUAUAAAUUCAAUUCAAAUUCAAAUAUAUUUUAUUGCUAAUCAAAGCGCCCACAAGGAGCAGAACAAUCAACAUUAAUUACAUACAAAUGAUUACAAGUGAUUCAAUAUGAUUAAGACACAAUGUUAUAAAAAAAAAAAAAAAAAAUAACCAAAAAAUAACCAAACCAAAAAAUAUUUAUUAAGACAAGUACAAGAAUACAACAAGUACAGUGUUUAAUAAUAUAAGGGGGGUAUGAGACAAGUUAGUGACGUGGACAAAAUCAUGAUUCAGAACAAUUGCAAAAAUGUAAAAUAUAUACGGAACUUUAUCGUAUAACAAUUGUGUAACAUAUAAUGCAAAAAAAUUAUAUAAAACAAUAAUAAAAUACCAUUAAACAUACCCAAAGGAAAAUGGAUUUAUUUAUUAUUCUUUUUUCAUGUAUUUUUUUGUAAAAAGUGUAUUUUGCGCACUUUUUAAAAUAAAAUAUUGUUUAAACUAAAUAUACCCAAUAUACGUGUAAGCUAAAGCGAUACAUUUGAAACUUUGACAUUUUUGUUUAUGAAACUGACUUUAACAAGAUAUCUAAAUUCAGAGUAUUAAGUGAGUACCAUUGAGCGAACUGAUAUUUGACCAAUUUCAAAAAAACGAAAUGUCACUAUUCUUUCCUUCGGUAAUUUGUUUUAUCAAUAUGUGUUAGAUUGAGAAUGUGAAAUUGAAAUGUUAUAGUAACUGGGGAAACUAUUUGUCGCGAACAAAACGUGACGUUAUUGCCUUAUAUUAUGUUAUCAUGGUCGAACUAUAUAAGGCAGUAGGAGCAUAAUAGGAAACUGUUAAAAGAUGUUGAUCAAAUAUGCUAAAUAAACUCUUUAUAGAUGCUCAACAUCAUUUAUUUGUUUUCUACUACUUCGUCCCGUAGCAGAUCAGAAUUAAAGAAAAACAGUACAACAACGGGUGUUACAUGGACACGUUUUACAAAUAGAGUCACUCGUGCAGUUAAUGAGUUCAUGGGUAAUUUAUCGUACACCUUGUGACCUACUUACCUUGUUUUGUCAAGGAUUUGUAUAGUACGACAAUACUGAUACUAGGUUAUAAAUAUGAUUUCUAUGAAUAGUAAUUAUAAAAAGCUAACUAUACUAGUCAACUAAAGAAACGAUACACAAGUCUGAACUAAAAUUUAUUAUAAAAUAUAACAAAUAAGAAAAACUAUAAAAUUAACAUGUAAAAUACAUUGCCUUUUAUCGUUUCGUUUGAUGAUUAAUAUACAACUCAAAAUGCUGAUAUUAAUAGAAGUAACUGACUUCAACAGUAAUAUGUUUCCAUGAAAACAAUCUCGCGGUUUGGCUUUACAUUAGAGCUGAAAUUUCUUAAAUUCUUAAAAUCCAACCAUACGAUGGAUUUCCUCUCAUGUCUUCAUGUCCAAGGAAGUUGCUUGAGUCGAUUUUAAUAGCACAAAACGAGUCUCAACGUCAAUAAACAUCAACUCAAUCUGGAGAAAGGGAUGGGAAAUUAAAACAAAAUAGUGUGACAAGUUAUCAAUACUUUGGUCUACUCGAAUAUCACAUUACUAUUAUGUGCAUGAAAUUAUUCCCCACCUCCCCUCCCCUCCACCGCAAAAAAGUGAUAUUCAAAAUGAGUGGAUAAAACAAUUACUGCUGAGUUAAAAAAAAAAAAAAAAAUUGAAACAAAUGUAAAUUCAACCCUCUUAUUUGAAAAUUGCCAAUUUUAAGUAUAAAAAAGAAUAACUAAGGGUGGUAUCAGCUUUUAUGUGUACAAUUUCAAACUUUAACCCGGUAUUUGGUAAUAUUGCAAAAUCUCGAUAAUUGAAGUAAAUUAAUGGAAGACUGCGAUGCUAAACAGAUCGAACUAUGAGAGAUGAUAAAAACGCUGUAGAUCAAAGUUUUCGGCACUAAUCAUAUAGGAUCAUAUAGCAUGAUUUACAAUAUCAACCCCAAAAUGGCCUACUCUGAACUUUUAACACAGUGAAACUUUAACUUACAAAUUAAAACCGCAGAGAAAUAGAACAUUAAAUUUAAAAUACAUCGUGUACAGUAUACUUACCAUGUAUUAGUAUAAAAUGAAAAAUCACAAAAAUACUGAACUUAGAGGAAAAUCUAAUCGGAAAGUCCAUAAUCACAUGGCAAAAUCAAAUAACAAAACACAUCAAAAAUGAAUGGACACGAACUGUCAUAUUCCUGAAUAGGUACAGGCAUUUUCAAAUGUAGAAAAUGGUGGAUUAAACCUGGUUUUAUAGCGAUAACCCUCUCACUUUGAUGACAGUCUCAUCAAAUUCCGUUUUAUUUACAAUGAUGCGUGAACUAAACAGACAUAAUAAAUAAAAUAGUCAAAAUAUAGGUACAGCAGUCAUCAUCGUGUAACAAUUUUAAACGGAACAAUUUAACAGAACACAAACACAUCUGUGUACAAACACAUUCAUUGAUUUGCGUGUCUGACGUCAGAAAAUUUUAUACGUCACAUAUAUUUGUCGUUCAAAGUACAUACAAACAAUUUUAAAAUUUCACAUAGGCAAUGUUAAACUUAGCAUACAGGGUUAAAAUAUCAAAAGUCUGUAAGAAUAUAAGUAACUAUAAAAGUAGAAAAAAGCACUAGGAUAAAUGAAUUUGUGCGUAAAUUAGUAUAUAGAAAAUCUUUCAAAGUCUAUUUACCUUACUUUUCAAUUCACAGAUUAUUGAGUGUGCCAAAAGGACAAGACCAUGGAAGACACUGUAGUAAGUUUUUGUGGUUGAUCAUUAAAUUAACCUUUGCAUAUGUCUCUAUCUUAUUUUAAAUACUUAUGUUACGUUUUAUAUAUCAUCAACCAAUAUAUUCACAUUAUUCGGGUGAAGACGCUUUGAAAUACAAAUUUGGCUGUUCUGCGUUAUGUACAAUUUAAUAAAACGACCAAUCAAAUUCAGUAUACUACAGUAUUAUCAACGUUUAACGACGUCAAACAAACAUCAUACAAUUAUCGAUAAAUAUGUAUUAUAUAUAAUGCGAAAUAAAUAAUUCAGUCAAUUUCAGUAAUUAUUUCAUGUGUAAAUUUCAAAGAACAAACAAUCUGCGAAAUGAUGUUGACGUCUUUAGCAACAAAACAAAAUGACGGCGUAUACAUGUUUUUUGCGUCAAAUGUGGACAACCGAACGUUUUAAGGCUUCUUGUACACUUCAGAGUGCAAUCAUAUUAGAUAAAAAGAUGUUCAUCUUGAAUAACAUGAUAUUAUUAAUAUUAUGAGGAAUAAAAAGCAACAGCGAAAACAAUAUCGUGUGAAUGGGGGUGUUCCUGUAUUUCAUUUGAAGGUGAUGGAUAGUUGUCUCAUAAGCAAUCAUAUCCUGCGGCUAUCUUAUUUGUAUAUGUCAUGGACGAAACGAUUACUGGUUUUUUUCUAUUUAAUCCAAAAAUUCGCGGUAACUAUAAAUUUGUUUCUUGAAUAUAAAUUUGCACAUUUCGUAUUUCAAUACAGCAUUUAGGCUGUUUAAUCUACAUAAUUCUUAUAGGAUUUGCAUAAAAGGGAUUACGUUGAUAUGAUUGGUCGAGAGGACUUCCGGUAGUUGAUCUUGACGUUGGUUAUUUUUCGAUAGACGACGUUGACCGAACUUCUUUUCGUAACCAAUGUAAACAAGAUGGCGGCGAUAAUAACAACGACGUUAAAUUCUUUUUAUUUUUACUGCAAGUUAAUCGUUAAAUAAAAUAAUACACAAAAAUAUUUGUUUGAAUGAUAAUAAUGCUGAGUUCGCACGUAAUUCGAAUUUGAUUCGCAUUAACUAAUUCGAAUUCGAAACGUUUUACGUCCUAACGUCAAUUCUAAUUCGAAUUACAAUGCACGUCAAAUUCGCUUUACUGUCCAAACGACGUUAACUUUUAAUUUGUAUUAACAAAACGUAUUUCUAAUUCGAAUUAAAUGUCCGUGUGAACGAGGCUUUAGAGUUUUUGCAGUUUAAUUUUUAUCAGAUAGCAAAUUUCAUUGAGUACAUAUUUUUGGGUUAACCAAAAAAUAUAUUCAUGCGCCAGGCAUAUUCAAUGACAUAAAUAUACAAUUUACAUGUACUAGAGGUAAAGAGUGUGAAAAAAUAUAUUCCUUAUCUCCAAUUUAAAAAAAGAAUUAUAAGGAUUAAACGCCUUUUUGCAGGAAUUUAUUGGUGUAUAAACAAGACCAAGUCACUCACAAACUUAUCAUAAAAGUCCUUCGGACUUUUAUUUGUUGUGAAGGAAUUGGUCGAGUUUAUACACCAAUAAAUUGCAUUAAAAAGGCGUUUAAUCAUAUAAGAGCCCUACACAAAGUUGCUGACAGAAGAGCUGUAAUUUGGCUUAUUUAUGAAAUAACUUCAAAGAAUGAAUCAAAUAACAAAAUAAGGAUUGAAUACCAGCAAUGACACUAUGUGAAUUAAAGUGCUCUUAAAAAAAUGGCCGAUCAACUCCACUUGUGAGUUAAAAGUAUCAAUUCAUGUUAAUGAUUCUAAAGAAACAUUGAUUGAAGAUUUUGAUAUCAGUUUCAUUCUAACCUAUUUUACAUUUGCAAGGUAAGCAUACCACCAACACAAGCUGUUAGAAAAAAACCUAACAACAACAAAAAAUCAAGACCACCAGAUUUGACAUGCGAGGCUAGCGCAGCCAGUUGUUGUUGCGCGCCUCUUGGAAUUGUUGCUAUGAUAUUGACAUUGCUAG